UCUAUGGGGAAUAUGUGAUAUUCAUGGCAGUCAGGAUGCCAUCUAUGUUCAAUAUGAAUUGACAAACAGAUGAGUGAGUUUGCGUUUUUUUUUUCAAGGGUGAAGAGACACGAGCUGAUCGAAAUGACAAGUUCAGAGGGUUCUAUGGUACCCCCAUAGAUUCCAGCAUCUGCUCCAUUUAUUCCAUAUUAUUAAACUUGGCCAUUAUUAUUUAAUCCAAGCGUCUUAAUAUCUCUGGGUUGACCAGCCAGCUCUUUGGUAAAAUAUAAUUGGUAAUUGGUAGCAAUUGCUAAGGAUAAUCCUGUUACACAUGUAUCUUGAGCAGCCAAGAGGGUGUACGUCCCAGGGAUAAAAGAAGUGGCUCCCAGCCGAAUGACCAGAGAAGUGAUUUAGCUUCUGAAAUUCUCUGCGCAGAAGCCUGAAGUUCCCUCAGAACUUCACUUCAGGAAUGUUCCAGGCUCAACCAGCUGCAAGUUGAGAACCCAAAACUUACUACGCUCCUGACUGCAUAAACAGCGUUAUAGUUUGACACUCCGCAGCUUCCCACGCAAGUCCCAACGCCCAGUGGGUCCGCCGAAAAAUAUUUUCUCUGGGCCCAAAGGACAAUCGCAUAGAUUUCUCACUAGACAAACGUACAAAGCCAAAAUUUCUGACAAACGAAUCCCUUUUCCAAGAGCGAAGGACGCUAAUCGUACAAGCGUUCGAGUCGACAGAUUUCAAGUACAGAGUAAACAGAGUCCCAAUUCAGGGCGAUAAAAUAAAAAAAAAAGAUUCAGGAUGAUCAAGAGACAGCGGUCCUAGUGAAAAAAAAAAA